rnacentral:tRNA from 1 species
CGGAGUAUAGCGCAGUUGGUAGCGCGCCUGGUUCGGGUCCAGGAGGUCGUGGGUUCAAGUCCCCCUACUCCGA